UUUCCCUAACUCACUAACGUUAGCUUAGCUAUAUGAAAACAGUUAUUGGUGAAUUAAUAUGUCCACAAGUUCGGUUAAUAGAGAGUAAGACCACCUGUUUGAGUUACUGUAAUCAACAGAAGGACCACCUGUUGGACUCUUGCAGCACCCGUCCCGAGACCUUCUCACAACCUUUGCCCACCAUGAUGUUCAUCUCCCUCCCAAGCUUCAGAGCUGUGUAGCUGCUUCCUGAUUAAUCAGACUCACCUGUUUUGGGCCCAUCUGGGACUGGACAAACUGAGCGGUGCAUCAUUACCUGGUCUGAUUAGGCCUGGAUGGCUGCAGACGGCCACCACGGAGCUCUGCACCUGCUCCUCCAUGCCAGAUGGAAGAGCGAAGCUGCCAGUUGGAAAUGGAUUGAGAAGAUUCUAUCCAAACAUAGCAAAGACUGUUUCUCUGUCAGCAUUAUGUUUUGGGCAGCUUUACCAUCAUGCCAUAUAUGGAAUAACCCCGUAUUAAUUACAAACACUACUACUAAAUAUUAUGAUGAAUUGGAAAUUACAUAAAGCCAAUAGCUUUAAUAUUGCUUGCUUGUUUGUCAGUUUUAAAUCGGUUUGAUUUUGUAUUGUACGCUAUUGUUUUGAAAGAUUAGUGUUGUCUAACAUUUCAUAACUGUACAUAUAUGUAGUAUGUCAGUAUUUUGUCCCUUUAAAUGCAAAAACUAUCAUUUCAUUAAAAUUAAGAUUACAAUAUGAAAAUGCAGAAAAUUGUUAGAAUUACAGCACAUACAUAUAAAUUGCUCAAAGGAUUAAUUCAUCGUCAAAAUAUUGUUUAUUUGUUGUCCGCUCAUUGCGUUUCAGCACCAGCAUUGCUUACGGUAACAAUUUAAUUUCUGAAACCUUUGUUGCCCAUAUUUUGAGAAAUACACUGAUUUGCUUGCCUAAAGAUGAAUGAGAGGAUCGAUACCUCUCACACAUCUGUCAAUCAGACACGGAGCUACAGCCAGGAGAUGGUUAGCUUAGCUUAGCAAAGACAUUAGCUUAGCUUAAAGCCUAA